rnacentral:rRNA from 1 species
UACGUAGGUGGCAAGCGUUGUCCGGAUUUACUGGGCGUAAAGAGCGCGCAGGCGGUUCAUCAAGUCGAAUGUGAAAGCCCCCGGCUUAACUGGGGAGGGUCAUUCGAUACUGCUGAACUUGAAGGCAGGAGAGGGAAGUGGAAUUCCCGGUGUAGUGGUGAAAUGCGUAGAUAUCGGGAGGAACACCAAUGGCGAAGGCAGCUCGCUGGGACGGUACUGACGCUGAUUGUGCGAAAGCUAGGGGAGCGAACGGG